GGGUCAGUAGGUUGGUCGUGCCACCGGUACGUACUGGUCUCACUGAUUCCUCCUUCCUGAAGAACCGUAAUGCCAUUAAUUUGGUGUUGCGGGGAAACAGGACUGUUACUUUGAAAAAAUUAGAGUGUUUAAAGCAAGCUAACGCUUGAAUACAUUAGCAUGGAAUAAUGAAAUAGGACGAUCGAUCCUAUUUUGUUGGUUUCUAGGAUUGACGUAAUAAUUAAUAGGGAUAAUUGGG
rnacentral:rRNA from 1 species